rnacentral:rRNA from 1 species
UACGUAGGGCGCAAGCGUUGUCCGGAAUUAUUGGGCGUAAAGAGCUCGUAGGCGGUUUGUCGCGUCUGCUGUGAAAACCUGAGGCUCAACCUCGGGCUUGCAGUGGGUACGGGCAGACUAGAGUGCGGUAGGGGGUGACUGGAAUUCCUGGUGUAGCGGUGGAAUGCGCAGAUAUCAGGAGGAACACCGAUGGCGAAGGCAGGUCACUGGGCCGCAACUGACGCUGAGGAGCGAAAGCAUGGGGAGCGAACAGG